rnacentral:rRNA from 1 species
GCGACCUGUGGUAUAACUGUAGAAAAUCUAGAGCUAAUACAUGCACGAGUACAGCGCCGAUCCCCGGAGAGGCGCGCGUUUAUUAGACCAAGACCGGCGCCGGGGCCCCGUGUCCCGGCCACUCCGUGUUGACUCUGGAUAACAUUGCCGAUCGCCCGGCCUUGCUGCCGGCGACGUAUCUUUCAAAUGUCUGACCUAUCAGCUGGUUGGCCGUAGAGGUGACGGCCACGGGAUUGACGGGUAACGGGGAAUCAGGGUUUGAUUCCGGAGAGGGAGCCUGAGAAACGGCUACCACUUCUAAGGAAGGCAGCAGGCGCGCAAAUUACCCACUCUCGACUCGAGGAGGUAGUGAAGAGAAAUAACGUGACGCUAACCCCAAGAGGCUGCGUUGGGGAAUGAGACCCGUUUAAAGCCUUGUCUGAUGACCCAGUAGAGGGCAAGUCUGGUGCCAGCAG